rnacentral:rRNA from 1 species
GUUUGAUCAUGGCUCAGAUUGAACGCUGGCGGGAUGCGCUACACAUGCAAGUCGAACGGCAGCACGGACUUCGGUCUGGUGAGUGGCGAACGGGUGAGUAAUGUAUCGGAACGUGCCUAGUAGCGGGGGAUAACUACGCGAAAGCGUAGCUAAUACCGCAUACGCCCUUCGGGGGAAAGCGGGGGACCUUCGGGCCUCGCACUAUUAGAGCAGCCGAUAUCGGAUUAGCUAGUUGGUGGGGUAACGGCUCACCAAGGCGACGAUCCGUAGCUGGUUUGAAGGACGACCAGCCACACUGGGACUGAGACACGGCCCAGACUCCUACGGGAGGCAGCGGUGAAAUUUUGGACAAUGGGAAACCCUGAUCCAGCCAUCACGUGUGCGAUGAAGGCCUUCCGGGUUGUAAAGCACUUUUGGCGGAAAGAAACAGCACGGGACCAAUACCCGUCACAGCUGACGAAGGCCUGCAGAAUAAGCACCGGCUAACUACGUGCCAGCAGCCGCGGUAAUACGUAGGGUGCAAGCGUUAAUCGGAAUUACUGGGCGUAAAGCGUGCAGGCGGUUCGGAAAGAAGAUGCUUGAAAUCGGAAACGCUUUGGAACUGCAUUUUUAACUACCGAGCUAGAGUGUGUCAGAGGAGGUGGAAUUCCGCGUGUAGCAGUGAAAUGCGUAGAUAUGCGGAGGAACACCGAUGGCGAAGGCAGCCUCCUGGGAUAACACUGACGCUCAUGCACGAAAGCGUGGGGGAGCAAACAGGAUUAGAUACCCUGUUGAUCCACGCCCUAAACGAUGUCAACUGGCUAUUUGGGGCCUUCGGGCCUUGGUAGCGCAGCUAACGCGUGAAGUUGACCGCCUGGGGAGGUACGGUCGCAAGAUUAAAACUCAAAGGAAUUGACGAGACCCGCACAAGCGGUGGAUGAUAUGGAUUAUUGGUGCAACGCGAAAAACCUUACCUACCCUUGACAUGUCUGAAUCCCCGAAGAGAUUUGGGAGUGCUCGCAAGAAGGCCGGAACACAGGUGCUGCAUGGCUGUCGUCAGCUCGUGUCGUGAGAUGUUAGGUUAAGUCCCACAACGAGCGCAACCCAUGUCAUUAGUUGCCACGAGGGCACUCGUAGGACUGCCGGUGACAAACCGGAGGAAGGUGGGGAUGACGUCAAGUCCUCAUGGCCCUUAUGGGUGAGCUUCACACGUCAUACAAUGGUCGGGACAGAGGGUCGCCAACCCGCGAGGAACCAAUCCCAGAAACCCGAUCGUAGUCCGGAUCGCAGUCUGCAACUCGGCUGCAUUAGUCAGAAUCAUAGUAAUCGCGGAUCAGCAUGUCGCGGUGAAUACGUUCCCGGGUCCUCUUCACACCGCCCGUCACACCAUGGGAGUGGGUUUUACCAGAAGUAGUUAGCCUAACCGUAAGGAGGGCGAUUACCACGGUGGGAUUCAUGACUGGGGUGAAGUCGUAACAAGGUAA